AUGAAAAAUAGUUCCAUGUUGGACGUCGGCGGGCAGGCGGAGGGCAUGUCCGCGGUCGACCUGGAGGUCGUGUUCGGCUCCAUUGGACGCGUCGCUUUUAUCAUAGGGCUCUUGACCAAGCUGAGCGAAUUAAAUUUCACAGUUCACCGGUAUUGCAAUUCUAUGAUGCGAGUGUCUCCCCAGAAAUGUGAGCCCCAAAGGGCAAUUGGUGAUGAAACCUGUAGCUUAUCAAACAUGGAGCAGUGGAGGGAAUUAAAAGCGUGUGGUAUGGAUCCAUGUGGAAGGGGUGAAGUCUUUUGGGUAGAAAGACGUUUGGGAGACCUUUAUGGAGGGAGCCAGGCAAAAACAGGACACUGCAUUGUGUUUCUGGGUCAUCCUCUAGGUUCUGGUUUGAGACCUACUACUGCAAAGGACUUAGCUAACAAUGUGGCAACUGGUUCUAUUACUCGGGUAAAGAGCGCACACACUGGAGUGCAUUUGUUCCUUUAA
rnacentral:rRNA from 1 species